rnacentral:rRNA from 1 species
GACGAACGCUGGCGGCGUGCUUAACACAUGCAAGUCGAACGAAGAGCGAUGGAAGCUUGCUUCUAUCAAUCUUAGUGGCGCACGGGUGAGUAACGCGUAAUCAACCUGCCCUUCAGAGGGGGACAACAGUUGGAAACGACUGCUAAUACCGCAUACGAUCUAAUCUCGGCAUCGAGGAUAGAUGAAAGGUGGCCUCUACAUGUAAGCUAUCACUGAAGGAGGGGAUUGCGUCUGAUUAGCUAGUUGGAGGGGUAACGGCCCACCAAGGCGAUGAUCAGUAGACGGUCUGAGAGGAUGAACGGCCACAUUGGGACUGAGACACGGCCCAGACUCCUACGGGAGGCAGCAGUGGGGAAUCUUCCGCAAUGGACGAAAGUCUGACGGAGCAACGCCGCGUGAGCGAUGACGGCCUUCGGGUUGUAAAGCUCUGUUAAUCGGGACGAAAGGCCUUCUUGCGAAUAGUGAGAAGGAUUGACGGUACCGGAAUAGAAAGCCACGGCUAACUACGUG